AGAUUAUAAACAUACAAAUGUAAUAAAAAUUAUUGUUCGCGAAUAUUCAAUUUGGAAUGCGAUUUUGUUAAUAAAAAAAAUACUUAUAACUUAUGCAAAACCCAAGAGAGGCAUUUAUAUUUAUUUCUUUUGCGUUCAUUUUCAAAUUCGCCGUGCAUAUAUUUUUGUGCAUGGCGCUUGAGAGGGCAUCACGUGACUAAAAACGACCAACCAACGACCUCGCUUCGGCCAUCUUGGCAUCUUCAUCUUGGCGACCUUGCCUUGCCGUGGAUUGUUUUUAGUUGUUUGUAUUAUUUGUGCUUUUUAAGAAUAUUUUUUUAAUUCGGAUACUUUUAUAAUAGCUUUAAUAGUAUUAUUAACAUAGUGCAUAAAAUGGUGUCCUGUUUUUAACGCAGUUGGAGUAGCAGAAACAAAUGUAGAUAAAAAAAUCUGCAGGAAUAACGUUUCAAUUAUGACAGAAGCUCAAAACAAAUGACUGUGAAUGGAAUGAAAAGCCCUAUUAAAAGCUUUCCAGAAGAUCCUGCGAAGAAGACAUGAAGUAUAGAUCAGAUUUGUUAAUAGAGGAGUAUGUUCAAAACACUUUUUAGAAAAAGAUAUUGACAGAACUUCACUUUCAUCUGUUCGUUUGAGAGACUGUGCUGUUCCAAUAGCUUAUGUCACACAGAAUCAGCUGAGAGAAGUGGUCUACAAAAAACCAGAAAGGAAACGGAAUAUGUGGCUACGAAAAGCAAAAGAAAGGUUUACAAAGCAAAUGUGACACAUUUUUUUAUAAUAUUUAGGAAUGUCAGCAAAUUACAUUAAAAAAUGUAUGUAAAGAUUUUUUGCAAUAAAAAUGUUUAUAUUUA